rnacentral:rRNA from 1 species
CCCUUAGAUGUUCUGGGCAGCACGCGCGCUACAAUGGUCUUCGCAAACGGAUGCAUUCUCGAAGGAGAAUGCCAAUCUUGGAAUCUAUGCCUUGGUCGGGACAGUUGCUUGCAUUUUUUCGACUCGAACCAGGAAUUCCUUGUAAUCGUGAUUCAUCACAUCACGAUGAAUACGUCCCUGCCCUUUGUACACACCGCCCGUCGCUCCUACCGAUCGAAGAGUUAGGUGAAUUGUUUUGAUCGAUAAGAUUUGACUAUGGUCAACUCUCGUUGUGAAAUUCUGUGAAUCUGACUGUUUAGAGGAAGGAAAAGUCGUAACA